CCCUUAGAUGUUCUGGGCCGCACGCGUGCUACACUGAGUGGAUCAGCGGGUCAGGUUGCGCGAAAGUGUUUCCUAAUCUUGAAAUCCGCUCGUGAUGGGGAUUGACGGUUGCAAUUUUCCGUCAUGAACGAGGAAUACCUUGUAAGCGCGGGUCAUCAUCCCGCGCUGAAUACGUCCCUGCCCUUUGUACACACCGCCCGUCGCACCUACCGAUUGAACGGACUGAUAAAAUCUUAGGACUGGUUGGCUUUGCGUGUGAGCGCGGGCUGCCCGGGAAUUUGAGUGAAUCACUUCGUUUAGAGGAAGGUGAAGUCGUAACA
rnacentral:rRNA from 1 species